rnacentral:tRNA from 1 species
CGGUGUGUGGCGCAAUCUGGUUAGCGUGUCUGUUUUGGAAACAGAAGGUUGUGGGUUCAAAUCCCGCCUCACCGACCA